UGCAAGUCGAGCGGUAAGGCCCUUCGGGGUACACGAGCGGCGAACGGGUGAGUAACACGUGGGUGAUCUGCCUUGCACUUCGGGAUAAGCCUGGGAAACUGGGUCUAAUACCGGAUAUGACCCCGAAUCGCAUGGUUUGGGGUGGAAAGAUUUAUCGGUGCGAGAUGGGCCCGCGGCCUAUCAGCUUGUUGGUGAGGUAACGGCUCACCAAGGCGACGACGGGUAGCCGACCUGAGAGGGUGACCGGCCACACUGGGACUGAGACACGGCCCAGACUCCUACGGGAGGCAGCAGUGGGGAAUAUUGCACAAUGGGCGCAAGCCUGAUGCAGCGACGCCGCGUGCGGGAUGACGGCCUUCGGGUUGUAAACCGCUUUUGACAGGGACGAAGCGCAAGUGACUGUACCUGUAGAAUAAGGACCGGCCAACUACGUGCCAGCAGCCGCGGUAAUACGUAGGGUCCGAGCGUUGUCCGGAAUUACUGGGCGUAAAGAGCUUGUAGGCGGUUCGUCGCGUCGUUUGUGAAAACUUGGGGCUCAACCUUAAGCUUGCAGGCGAUACGGGCGGACUAGAGUACUUCAGGGGAGACUGGAAUUCCUGGUGUAGCGGUGAAAUGCGCAGAUAUCAGGAGGAACACCGGUGGCGAAGGCGGGUCUCUGGGAAGUAACUGACGCUGAGAAGCGAAAGCAUGGGUAGCAAACAGGAUUAGAUACCCUGGUAGUCCAUGCCGUAAACGGUGGGUACUAGGUGUGGGGCUCCUUCCACGGACUCCGUGCCGUAGCUAACGCAUUAAGUACCCCGCCUGGGGAGUACGGCCGCAAGGCUAAAACUCAAAGAAAUUGACGGGGGCCCGCACAAGCGGCGGAGCAUGUGGAUUAAUUCGAUGCAACGCGAAGAACCUUACCUGGGUUUGACAUACACCGGAAACCUGCAGAGAUGUAGGCCCCCUUGUGGUCGGUGUACAGGUGGUGCAUGGCUGUCGUCAGCUCGUGUCGUGAGAUGUUGGGUUAAGUCCCGCAACGAGCGCAACCCUUAUCUUAUGUUGCCAGCGCGUAAUGGCGGGGACUCGUGAGAGACUGCCGGGGUCAACUCGGAGGAAGGUGGGGACGACGUCAAGUCAUCAUGCCCCUUAUGUCCAGGGCUUCACACAUGCUACAAUGGCCGGUACAGAGGGCUGCGAUACCGCGAGGUGGAGCGAAUCCCUUAAAGCCGGUCUCAGUUCGGAUCGGGGUCUGCAACUCGACCCCGUGAAGUUGGAGUCGCUAGUAAUCGCAGAUCAGCAACGCUGCGGUGAAUACGUUCCCGGGCCUUGUACACACCGCCCGUCACGUCACGAAAG
rnacentral:rRNA from 1 species